UACGUAGGUCUCAAGCGUUUGUUCGGAUUCAUUGGGCGUAAAGGGUGCGUAGGCGGCGCGGUAAGUCGGGGUGUGAAAUCUUGGAGCUUAACUCCGAAACUGCAUUCGAUACUGCCGUGCUUGAGGACUGGAGAGGAGACUGGAAUUUACGGUGUAGCGGUGAAAUGCGUAGAUAUCGUAAGGAAGACCAGUGGCGAAGGCGGGUCUCUGGACAGUUCCUGACGCUGAGGCACGAAGGCCAGGGGAGCAAACGGG
rnacentral:rRNA from 1 species